UACAGAGGUCUCAAGCGUUGUUCGGAUUCAUUGGGCGUAAAGGGUGUGUAGGUGGCGCCGUAAGUCGGGUGUGAAAUUUCGGAGCUUAACUCCGAAACUGCAUUCGAUACUGCGGUGCUUGAGGACUGGAGAGGAGACUGGAAUUCAUGGUGUAGCAGUGAAAUGCGUAGAUAUCGUGAGGAAGACCAGUUGCGAAGGCGGGUCUCUGGACAGUUCCUGACACUGAGGCACGAAGGCCAGGGGAGCAAACGGG
rnacentral:rRNA from 1 species